rnacentral:rRNA from 1 species
ACCAGACUCCUACGGGAGGCAGCAGUGGGGGAUAUUGCACAAUGGGGGGAACCCUGAUGCAGCGACGCCGCGUGGGUGAAGGAGUGCUUCGGCAUGUAAAGCCCUAUCGGCAGGGAAGAAGCAAGACGGUACCUGACUAAGAAGCCCCGGCUAACUACGUGCCAGCAGCCGCGGUAAUACGUAGGGGGCAAGCGUUAUCCGGAUUUACUGGGUGUAAAGGGAGCGUAGACGGCGAUGCAAGCCAGAUGUGAAAGCCCGGGGCUCAACCCCGGGACUGCAUUUGGAACUGUGUGGCUGGAGUGUCGGAGAGGCAGGCGGAAUUCCUAGUGUAGCGGUGAAAUGCGUAGAUAUUAGGAGGAACACCAGUGGCGAAGGCGGCCUGCUGGACGAUGACUGACGUUGAGGCUCGAAAGCGUGGGGAGCAAACAGGAUUAGAUACCCCGGUAA